GACGAACGCUGGCGGCGUGCUUAAUACAUGCAAGUCGAGCGGUGAGGCUUGGUUCUUGCGCCGAUUUGAAGAGCAGCGCACGGGUGAGUCACGCGUGUGGACUCUGCCUUUGAGCGGGGGACCACAUUGAGAAACGAGUGCUAAUACCGCAUAACAACUUUAAACAUAAUGUUUGAGUGUGAAAGAUGCAGUUGCAUCACUCAAUGAUGAUCCCUCGUUGUAUUGGCUAGUUGGUGAGGUAAAGGCUCACCAAGGCGAGGAUACAUAGCCGACCUGAGAGGGUGAGCGGCCGCAUUGGGACGGAGACACGCCCCAUACUGCUACGGAAGGCAGCAGUAGGGAAUCUGGGGCAAUGGGCGAGAGUCUGACCGAGAAGGGCGGAGUGAGUGAAGAAGGUCUCCGCGUGGGAGAUCUCUGUCGUUGGAGAAGAACGUUGGUGAGAGUGGAACGAACAGUAAGUGACGGUAACGGGCAAGAAAGCGACGGCUAACUACGUG
rnacentral:rRNA from 1 species